UUCGUUGUAGUCGUCGCCAAUUGACGCCAUCACUGCUGUUGCGGUCGCAACUGUCUUCUUCUUCACGUCCCCUAUUGCUCUCGGCCGCUAGAUCUCUCCUUUGCUCCAUCGAUGGCUGACCCUCCAACUUCCGAUGUUGCCAACCUCGGUACAUAUGGAAAAAAAUGUUGUACAAGUAUUUUACAAGCAUUUUGAAUAAACGUGUGUCUCAUGUGCAUGAGGCUCACGCUUCGCCUUGUGCUUCAUGCCAAGGCCUAGGCCCCAAGAACUCUUUUGUCCUCAGUGUGCCUUGCGCCUUUGACAACUAUGAAAGUUGGUGAGAGAAAUUCCAAACAGUUGGCAUGUAAUGUUAGGCAUUUACCAGUGUCUUAGCACUGGUGGCCUAUUUAUCCACAACUGGAAUAAGGCUAAAUUAAUGAGUCCAGAUCAAUAGGGUAUGUCAAAUGCUUGCUUUCCAAGAG